rnacentral:rRNA from 1 species
GAUGAACGCUGGCGGCGUGCUUAAUACAUGCAAGUCGAGCGAACAGACGAGGAGCUUGCUCCUCUGACGUUAGCGGCGGACGGGUGAGUAACAUGUGGAUAACCUACCUAUAAGACUGGGAUAACUUCGGGAAACCGGAGCUAAUACCGGAUAAUAUAUUGAACCGCAUGGUUCAAUAGUGAAAGACGGUUUUGCUGUCACUUAUAGAUGGAUCCGCGCCGCAUUAGCUAGUUGGUAAGGUAACGGCUUACCAAGGCAACGAUGCGUAGCCGACCUGAGAGGGUGAUCGGCCACACUGGAACUGAGACGCGGUCCAGACUCCUACGGGAGGCAGCAGUAGGGAAUCUUCCGCAAUGGGCGAAAGCCUGACGGAGCAACGCCGCGUGAGUGAUGAAAGUCUUCGGAUCGUAAAACUCUGUUAUUAGGGAAGAACAAAUGUGUAAGUAACUAUGCACGUCUUGACGGUACCUAAUCAGAAAGCCACGGCUAACUACGUG